rnacentral:rRNA from 1 species
AUGGGCGCAAGCCUGAUGCAGCGACGCCGCGUGAGGGAUGACGGCCUUCGGGUUGUAAACCUCUUUCGCCAGGGACGAAGCGCAAGUGACGGUACCUGGAGAAGAAGCACCGGCCAACUACGUGCCAGCAGCCGCGGUAAUACGUAGGGUGCGAGCGUUGUCCGGAAUUACUGGGCGUAAAGAGCUCGUAGGUGGUUUGUCGCGUUGUUCGUGAAAACUCACAGCUUAACUGUGGGCGUGCGGGCGAUACGGGCAGACUGGAGUACUGCAGGGGAGACUGGAAUUCCUGGUGUAGCGGUGGAAUGCGCAGAUAUCAGGAGGAACACCGGUGGCGAAGGCGGGUCUCUGGGCAGUAACUGACGCUGAGGAGCGAAAGCGUGGGGAGCGAACAGGAUUAGAUACCCUGGUAGUCCACGCCGUAAACGGUGGGUACUAGGUGUGGGUUUCCUUCCUUGGGAUCCGUGCCGUAGCUAACGCAUUAAGUACCCCGCCUGG